UUACACAGUCCAGUUUAUGAUGACAUUACCGUGAAGAUGAGGAAAAAACAAAUCUCAACAGCUACUUACAAACAAAGCUAGCUAGCGAUGUUUAGUUUAUGAUAUGCAUGUAUCCAUUUUACUAGCUGGAUAGAUAAUUGUGAAUGAUCAUAAUAUAGAAAAACAAAAAUACUGUUUCAUUGAAAAGGGGCCAAAAGCGUUUGUGGACAAUGUCGGGUUCCGUGGCCGAUUUCCAGGCGCAGAUAGCCUCAAUCAUGGAGGUGCUAGCCAAUGCGGCUGUUGCCGAAAUCUGCAAAGUUGUUGACGAUGGCUAUGCGGUUGUACAUCUGGAGAUGACUCAAAGCCACAAGGAGAACGAAUUUCUCCGGAGGAAAAUGAAAUUGAUGGAACUUCAGGUCGCCAGGUUUCGAGCAGAGAGAACAAAGUCUUCAGAUGGGUCCGUCCACAACCGCUUCCAUGGAAUACGCCUGCUCAACAGACACAACAAUCGAGAAACUGCAACGACAGGACCUACUUGGCAAAGCAGAGCCAGACUUUCCAACAGGAGUUUUGGGAACAGCAGCAUACCAAGAGACAGACAGCCCAUAGACGUGGACCAAGAGGAUGUCUCUCCAUCAAAGCAUAUGGAUGCUACAAGUGAUGAGCAGUCAGCAGAGACAGAGGAAGGGGAACCAGACCUGCUCAUCAUCAAGGUGGAGGGAGAAGCAGAUGACCAGAACUCUAGGAUCAGCCACCCAGUUAGAACAGUGGAGGGCAGCAGAGAGCUAACCACCCAACUGGCUGCAGCCACCACAGAGGACCCUGCCAUUCAGUCCAGUGGCCCCAGAGGCUACAACAACACCGCUAUGGAGGUCAGUGGAUCUGACGCCAUCCUCCUCCAGUCAGAAACAGGGAAUGUGAACCAGGGACCCCAGCAACACACAGGAUUUGAACCCAAAGCCGAGAGACAGAGUCUGGACACAAAGUGUGAUAUGAACGGGGGCCUCAAUCUCCUAAGAGAUUCUUUAAACCAGGUGUGGAGAGAGGUAGUAGCGACUGAUGAUGGUGCCUCUGCUGCUCACACUAAAGUAAUGGACCUAGGGAGUGGCCCAGUGGGCCCAGAAACACAGACUAGCUCAGACAUAGAAAUGAGAAGUGUAGGGUUAGAAAACCGCAGGUUUUCCCCCAAGUCGUUCCAUUCCUCAUCAGAACAUGUGAUAGUGAUUGACUCUGUAUCCAGUGGGCAGCAGGUAGGUAGAGAUUUUGAGUGGGGUCAGGUGGGUACAGCUACUACACCACAGGACAAUGGGACUGGAAAUAAGCAGGGAGUAGGAGGGUUUAACAGAAACACACCAAUGAUUUGCCACGAUUCGAUGAGAGACAACACAACGCAAUUGGUUUCACCCAGCUUCCGGCCCUCAGAGAUAAAUACAGGUAUGCAUCUUGGCACAGGUGAGGCCAACAAAGCUAGUUGGUGCUCAUUGGCAAGCCUCCAGAGACACUCUGAAAUACCAGGUAGAAGAGCUCAACAACCAGCUCAUACCUCACUUCCUGAUUGCCAUUUUAGACCAAGCGCCACAACUUCCUCUCACUCCAGUAAUCUCGCCACAGACGUUAGACCUGGUACCAUAGAACGACCGUAUGGUUGCCCGAGCUGCAAUAAGAAGUUCGCCCACGAGAGUGACUUGCGGCAGCAUGCUGUCAUCCACACCAGAAAGCGGCCGUUCGCCUGCACCUUGUGUGAGAAGAGAUUUGUGUCCCGCGCCAAGCUCCAAAUGCACCUGAACGUCCACACUGGCGACAAGCCCUUCAGUUGUGCACAGUGCGGACGCAGGUUCUCCCACUCCAGCAAUCUGAAAAGACAUCAGAAGCUUCAUCAUUGAGAACUGACAAUGAAGCAAGAAAUUCCUAUUGAAAAAAGCUGUUAUAGCAAUAUCAUGAAUUCAAACGUCAUUGCUUCAGACGUAGUCAUAUUUGUGCAGGAUGUUUACCCUGGUCUCAUACAUCUACAAUACAACGUGGUUCAUAUUUACAUUAUCUACAAAGACUGUUACGUUUUCUUGGCUUCUUUAAGGCCAACAGCAUCACUCACAUUGACUGUUAAGGUUGAUCAUGGUUGUGUUCUACUAAUAAUACUGUGUGCCUCACACUAAAGUUAUAGCAGAUGCUGAAAUUGUACUGUGACACUGAAAAACUGUCUGUUCUUUUGUACCAAUUUGACCAAUGGCUGUUGCUGUUUGUUCAUUAAAUCCUAUAAUUCCCUCAAUAAAUAAUAUUUUUCAAAUAA